AAAUUGAAGAGUUUGAUCAUGGCUCAGAUUGAACGCUGGCGGCAGGCCUAACACAUGCAAGUCGAGCGGAAACGAGUUAUCUGAACCUUCGGGGAACGAUAGCGGCGUCGAGCGGCGGACGGGUGAGUAAUGCCUAGGAAAUUGCCCUGAUGUGGGGGAUAACCAUUGGAAACGAUGGCUAAUACCGCAUGAUGCCUACGGGCCAAAGAGGGGGACCUUCGGGCCUCUCGCGUCAGGAUAUGCCUAGGUGGGAUUAGCUAGUUGGUGAGGUAAGGGCUCACCAAGGCGACGAUCCCUAGCUGGUCUGAGAGGAUGAUCAGCCACACUGGAACUGAGACACGGUCCAGACUCCUACGGGAGGCAGCAGUGGGGAAUAUUGCACAAUGGGCGCAAGCCUGAUGCAGCCAUGCCGCGUGUGUGAAGAAGGCCUUCGGGUUGUAAAGCACUUUCAGUCGUGAGGAAGGUAGUGUAGUUAAUAGCUGCAUUAUUUGACGUUAGCGACAGAAGAAGCACCGGCUAACUCCGUGCCAGCAGCCGCGGUAAUACGGAGGGUGCGAGCGUUAAUCGGAAUUACUGGGCGUAAAGCGCAUGCAGGUGGUUUGUUAAGUCAGAUGUGAAAGCCCGGGGCUCAACCUCGGAAUUGCAUUUGAAACUGGCAGACUAGAGUACUGUAGAGGGGG
rnacentral:rRNA from 1 species